GUAUAGUUUUGAAUCUUUAAACUUUUUUUUUUAAAAAUUGCUGUUUUUUUUCAGUGUUAAAUCCUUAAAUAAGAGUAUUAACCCUUUUUCAGGUUUUAAAUCCAACAUUACUUUUCGUGUAACCUAACAUUAAAAAUGUUAUAAUUGAAUAAAAUUUAAAAAUAACUCUGAAGUUGGAAGGACUUGGUGUGAAUUGACCUCGCUAAGUCCAGCAUUUGCCCUGUCCGCUGAUAAUGUCGCUAACUCUACUGUAGUAACCGUUUCGAACUAGGAAGUGGAAUUUUAAGUGUACGAACACAAGACAAGUGGAGUGAUCCACACAGUGGAAUGUGGCAGUGUGGUUACAGGAAAUACAGGCACUCUUGGAACAUCACUCAACCAAUCAAAUUAGUAGACCAGAACUAACUUUUGUAUAAAGGCAGUUUAUAAUACGCAUCAUUGCUCUUGAAUGUCAGGCAAAUAUCAACUGAUGAGCAACUUUACUGCCAUUAUCUACUCUUCCUCACAGUGUUUGUGCAAUAGUGACCUUUAGAUGAAGUUUUGCUGAAACAGAAAUAACUGAACUAACUCACUAACUCAUGCUCCCCAUAUGCACUUUGUAUCAGAUUGCGUGUAACGUGCAUACAAAUGGAGACUGUCUACAGAAAGCCAGAUUAGGAUACAUAUAAACAGUUCAUAUGGAACAUGCAAUCGGAAUGAAUUUAUUCAGAAAUUCUCCGCAUGUAAACACUGUCAUGGGUGCACAUGAAAGAUCUUUGCUAAAGUAAGUAAUUCUUUCUCGUCGAGAGAAGUGUAAAGACUGGACAACUCCAUCGCUCGAUUUACUUUAAGUAAUAUUUCACAGGUUGAAAAGGAAAGUGAAGCCAGAACCCCCACAGAGCGAACAAGAACUGAAAAUAUCUACAGUAAAGUAAUACCUGACGUGGACCUGUCACCUUUACAUCCUCUUUAAACAGUCAGUAAAACACAAUGUGUUGAGAAUGUUGUGUAAUACAUCGCUAGCUGUGUUAUCCUGAUGCUGAUCUUCUGCGCACACAUGGGGCUGCUGAUAUGAUGUUGAGUAACCCUGCUUAUUUUUCAGCAACACUGGGAGCAAAGUUACAGAAUUCACCAUGGACUAGAUUGGUCAAAAUUAAUUCGGGAGAGGACGGGAUUGCUGGAAAUUCCUUCGGGAGAGGACAGGAUUGGUUGAAAUUCCUUCUUGAGAGGACGGGAUUUGUCCAAAUUCCUUCAGGAGUGGACGGGAUUGGUCAGGUGUGUCUGUGGGAUUGGGCAACAGUGUCUGCAGGAGAAUGGGUGAUGGGUGAUAUGACGAAACAUCAUCGAUAUUGUGAUAAAUUAUGUUGCAAUAUAUUUUUUAUUUAAUUACAAACUGAUCUGAAGGAGCUGAGUUGAUGUUAAACUGUAUUGUACUUAAUCUUUAAAAUUUUUGAAUGUUAAAAUACAAAUUUAAAAAAAUUUCAAUCUAAAACAAACACCAAUUUUUAUUUAAUUUUUUUUAUGUAACACUACAGUUUUGCUGGCAUGUAUAUUGUGAUACACAUCAUGUAUUUUAGAAAAGUCUUCAAGAAUCUUGAUAUGAUUUUUUUUUUUUUUUAAUCAUAUCACCCACUCAUAUCCAGAAGAAGGCAAGAUUGUUUAAGGAUCAGUCGCAAUUCCUGGAGUGGGGUAAAAAUAAAAAAAUUUAAAAAAAAGUCCCAGGUACUCCUGUAACCUGAACCACAUUAAAAAGGUUCUUCUCAACAUGGAGAAGCAGCAGCUCUACUCUGAGCUCCAAAAAGCCGCCCCUCUUAUCAAGGAUCUUCAACUCUCUGGCUACAGUUCUCUAAUGGAGAAGGAUGGAAUGCCUCUGGCUCUUAUUAAUGAGUGAUGGGAGGAAGGAGGAUGAGAUUAAUCACAGGUUAUAGAACACACUCACAGUAGUGAAGACACAGCUGAGCCAUUAAGGCAGAGCUUUUGAUUUACCGGUGUCUCUUAUCCUCUUGGUGACCAAAAGAAUUCAAAAUUAACACGUCAAAUACUGUAUGUCGUAAACAGGAUAAGAAUCGACAACACAAAGAUGGUUGGGAGUUUUAUUCUCUUUAUAGUAUACAAUAACCUUAAGAGGAAGUGGUCUUCCAGGACGCAUUCAUUGAGGUAUAGACAAAGUCAUACAUCGACUUUUCACUGAUCUGCACACUGAAACUUAACAUGAAGUUGUGUAACGUGGUCCACUGAUAAAACAUUAAAGACAAUUUAUUUCUUCCAAGCUUUGUUCUCAUAGUCCCAGUUGGCGGAAAAGCCCUCGACGGGGUUGAUCCUCAUGUCAAGCAUCCUCUGGAGCUCCUUCUGCUUGUACUCGGGGUCGAAGGUGUGAGGAACGUCUCCGUAAACUGCAAAACCGAAACAGAAUUACUUCAGUGACAUUUACACUCAAGUUUUCUGUUGAUACAGAAGGGUAUUGAAUAUCAGAUAACCGCUAACUACAGUACGUUAAGGACAAGUACGUGUACCAUAUUUCCUCUGCCACAGCACGACAAAGCCAGUGAAGCCAAUGAAGAACAAGACUCCAGCGACCACGGUCUUCCACUCCCCUGUACCCUUAUCCAUCUCAGCAAAGCUGUCCUUGAAGCUGAUACGGUACACUGCAACAAGCAAAGAAACAACAAUAAGUAAGGAUCCAAAGUAAAGUCUGGGAAUAUGCAGAAACGAUAUCUUGUUCAUUAUAUCCUAUCAUAAAUCAUAUGAGAAGCACUCGCUCUUUUCUAUCAUCUCCUGAAGAAACAAAAUGAAACCAAUUAUUUAUGUUUAAAAGUGUUGGGGAAGCGAGAUUUAUGUAAGAUAGUGAGAUCUUAGCACUAUGUUAUGGUCAUGUGACCUACUAAUCAUCAACUUGUCUGGCUACAAAUCUUACAACAAGUGCUUAUAAUAACGGUUAUUAAAGACUAUUAAUACGAGGUUUGUGCAGUACGCAUAGACUUUUUGGUUAGCGUACAUCUCUCCGAUUUAAAGUGUGAAUCUAUCAUUAAUACUACACGUCCCCUGGCAACAUUUACCGAACAGACACAGGUCUGGAAAUCUGAACCAUGUGAAUCUUCGUGUGUACGUACGUGCAACUUUCUCCUCGUUGGACAACACAGCCCAGGAGCCCUUCUCCUUCUCUUUGAGGGACUUCUGCUCCGGAUUCAGUUGCUGGACAUAUCUAAUCUCAGGCAGGGGGACCUCACGGCGGUCAAAAUAUGCUGGGAGGGUGUAGUCCUCCACCUUGGCGACUCCUAAAAGAAAACAAGAACAGGCCCAUUAGACACAAAAAGGGAUGAAAACCACUGGAAUAAGGAACCGUAGUCUUACUAGCUGUUAAUUUACUUUGUACCAGAUUCCAAGGAACCGCCCUCUAUGAUAAUUCACCAUCAACACCAAUAUUUUAUUGCUUUAAUGUGUUAAGUUGCCUAACAGCCAUGUCGAGUCUGAACCAGGACUGAACUGCAUCGUCUCAGUUCCUCAUUACUUAAGCACUAUGAGAAACAGGAGACAACAUUUCCAUGGCUUUUCUAAAAAUGUCAUUUUUUUUUUUACUAAUUUACUAAUAAAAAAAAAUAAAUAAAUAAAAAAAAAAAA